rnacentral:siRNA from 1 species
AGGAUAAGUGGGAGCUUCGGCGCA